GAACGCACCUUGCGCCCUUUGGCUAUUCCGAAGGGCAUGCCUGUUUGAGUAUCAUGAACACUUCAACUCUCAUGGUUUGCCAUGAUGAGCUUGGACUUUGGAGGUCCUGCCGGCCUGUGGUCGGCUCCUCUCAAAUGGAUCAGCUUGCCAGUGUUUGGUGGCAUCAUGGGUGUGAUAACUAUCUACGCCUGUGGUUUUCCACCGGAUAACCUUCAGUGAUGGAGGUUCGCUGGAGCUCAUAAAUGUCUCUCCUCAGUGAAGACAGCCUUUUGAACGUUUGAUCUCAAAUCAGGUAGGACUACCCGCUGAACUUAAG
rnacentral:misc_RNA from 1 species